CUUGACAGGGCGGUGCUCUGACCAAUUGAACUACAAUCCC
rnacentral:tRNA from 96 species